ensembl:lncRNA RNF216P1 ring finger protein 216 pseudogene 1
GUACGCUUGCGCGAGGUGACGCCGGGGCAGGGCCGGAAGGAAUGCAGCGGCUGCCACGGAGCUCGUAGCUGCAGCUUUGGAGGAGUAAGCGGCGUGGUAGCGAAGGUCGCCGAACCCGCCUGGCUAGCCGGCGAGUUGAGUGGCGACUCUUUUGAAACAGAUGGUCACCAUGUUUAGAUAUUAGCAGUCCCGUAUGUGCAUGUCUGCAUUUGAAAAUGGAAGAGGGAAACAACAAUGAAGAGGUAAUUCACUUGAACAACUUUCACUGCCAUCGGGGACAAGGGGUUGGCAUCUGCACAUCCUUCCUGGGCAUCUCGUGGGCACUGCUCGAUUACCACCAGGCCUUGCACACCUGCCUCCCCUCCAAGCCCCUCCUGGGCCUGGGCUCCUCUGUGAUCUACGUCCUGUGGAACCUGCUGCUACUGUGGCCCCGAGUCCUAGCUGUGGCCCUGUUCUCAGCCCUCUUCCCCAGUAUGUAGCCCUGCAUUUCCUGGGCCUGUGGCUGGUACUGCUGCUCUGGGUUUGGCUUCAAGGCACAGACUUCAUGCUGGACCCCAGUUCCGAGU